rnacentral:rRNA from 1 species
CCUACGGGUGGCUGCAGUGGGGAAUAUUGCACAAUGGGGGAAACCCUGAUGCAGCGACGCCGCGUGAGUGAAGAAGUAUUUCGGUAUGUAAAGCUCUAUCAGCAGGGAAGAAAAUGACGGUACCUGAUUACGCAGCCCCGGCUAACUACGUGCCAGCAGCCGCGGUCAUACGUAGGGGGCAAGCGUUAUCCGGUUUUACUGGGUGUAAAGUGAGCGUAGACGGCAGCACAAGUCUGGAGUGAAAUGCCGGGGCUUAACCCCGGAACUGCAUUGGAAACUGUGCAGCUAGAGUGCAGGAGAGGGAAGUAGAAUUCCUAGUGUAGCGGUGAAAUGCGUAGAUAUUAGGAGGAACACCAGUGGCGAAGGCGGCUUACUGGACUGUAACUGACGUUGAGGCGCGAAAGCGUGGGGAGCAAACAGGAUUAGAUACCCGUGUAGUC